rnacentral:lncRNA from 1 species
CCGUCCUUAGCCAUUUUCCCUUUUCCCUCUCUUUUCUCUUCUUCAUCUUCUAUUUAUUUUUCCUUAUUUCAUUUUCUCUGCACCAUAGAAACCCAAACUGUGCACCCUUCUACAACCGUCGCCAACACUGCCGUCCAUCGCUGGCCUCCUUAUCGCCGUUGAAAAACGCUCGGACUCCACCUCUCUCUCUCGAUCUCUUUUCAUUUUUCUUUCCCCCUUUUUUCAAUCAAAAACCUAGUUGCCCCUUUGUUACUACCGCCCCAUCAAUUGCCACCCUAAACUACCGCCGUCAGUGGUCUCUUCUGACGAUAGAAUCGUCCUGUCGCUUUAAAGCCACCCCCGUCGUACUCUGCCGAGAUGAGCCUUCUACUUUUAUUCUUCUUUUUUAGAUUUUCUUCUUUUGUAUCUUAGUUCUUCUGAAUUUUUGGAGCGUCUGCAGGCUUCUCACUCGGUGUUCCUCUCCUUCUUUACUGACAACUAAUGUGUAUGGUUCUUUUUUGGUGUAAAAAUUGUUGCCUUUAUUGAAUUGUUGGGUUUCUGGAUAGUUGAAUGGUUGGGGUAUUAUUAUUAUUUGAGAUUGUUAUGGGUUGAGAGAAUGAGGUUGAGUGGAGGUGGCGAUGGUGGGCAAUGCUUUGCCCCAUUGUUGUCACUCUUUAAAUAUUGUCAUCAAAUGAGCCGAUUUAGCUUCAUCUUUGAUUGUAAUUUGCCAAACGUAACACUUUUUAACUUUUCUGGUUAGGAGUAGAAAUAAUCUCAUUGCUAAGUUGCAGGUUAUGUUCGAGUCCAC